CCGCGUGUGCCCGCACGCCCGCCCCCUGCGCCCCGGGGGGGGGCGCCCUUCCUCCUCUCCCCUCCCCCUCCUCCCGGGCUGCCGAGUCGCCCGAGGCUCGGGCGCUGCUGCGCAGCGGGGGAAGACGCCUCCUGCUCCCGGGGCCCACUAACGCGCUAAAUCGAUGCAGCUGAUGCGAGGCCGUGGCCCCUGCAGACAGCGGAGACCUAGCCGGCGGCCGGCGAGAAGGUGUCUGCCCCCGCCGGGCUUGAAGGCACUUGUCGAUUUGAUGGGCUUCUCUGCCACUCCUUGGAAACAUGUUAGCAGAACCUGGGAUGGAGAAACCAUCCUUGAAUACAGAAAAGAAUGUGGCACCGGCUGGGUAGAGAUCAUCCAGAUCACGCUUCUGUUCUCCUACUGAUGACCUUGGUGAUAGACGAUUAGGAGAGAAUCUCUGAACACAGGCCCUCAAUCCACAGACCCUGGGCAAGUGAGGAGAUCCUUC